GACCCAUUAGCUCAGUUGGUAGAGCACUUGACUUUUAAUCAAGGAGUCCGGCGUUCGAGUCGCCGAUGGGUCACCA
rnacentral:tRNA from 1 species